GAUGGACGCUGGCGGCGUGCUUAACACAUGCAAGUCGAACGAGUUUUAUCACUACGAUCCCUUCGGGGUGACGGUUUUAAAACGAGUGGCGGACGGGUGAGUAACGCGUGGAUAACCUGCCAUACACUGGGGGAUAACAGCUGGAAACAGCUGCUAAUACCGCAUAAAACUGUAGAGUCGCAUGACUUUAUAGCCAAAGCUCCGGCGGUGUAUGAUGGAUCCGCGUCUGAUUAGGCAGUUGGUGGGGUAACGGCCCACCAAGGCGACGAUCAGUAGCCGGCCUGAGAGGGUGAACGGCCACAUUGGGACUGAGACACGGCCCAAACUCCUACGGGAGGCAGCAGUGGGGGAUAUUGCACAAUGGGGGAAACCCUGAUGCAGCGACGCCGCGUGAGUGAAGAAGUAUUCGGUAUGUAAAGCUCUAUCAGCAGGAAAGAUAAUGACGGUACCUGACUAAGAAGCACCGGCUAAAUACGUG
rnacentral:rRNA from 1 species